rnacentral:rRNA from 1 species
AUGUCUAAGUACAAACGACUUGAUCGUGAAACCGCGAACGGCUCAUUAUAACAGCUAUAAUUUACUUGAUCUUGACCAAUCCUACUUGGAUAACUGUGGUAAUUCUAGAGCUAAUACAUGCGCAAGAGCUCCGUCCUUUUGGGCGGAGUGCAUUUAUUAGAAGAAAACCAAGCGGCUUCGGCCGUCUUUCGUUGACUCAGAAUAACUAAGCUGAUCGCAGGGUCUUGUACCGGCGACGUGUCUUUCAAGUAUCUGCCUUAUCAACUUUCGAUGGUAGUGUAUGUGACUACCAUGGUGGUGACGGGUAACGGAGGAUAAGGGUUCGACUCCGGAGAAGGGGCCUGAGAAAUGGCCACUACGUCUAAGGAUGGCAGCAGGCGCGCAAAUUACCCACUCUCGGCGUGAGGAGGUAGUGACGAGAAAUAACGAGACCGUUCUCUAUGAGGCCGGUCAUCGGAAUGGGUACAAUCUAAACCCUUUAACGAGUAUCUAUGAGAGGGCAAGUCUGGUGCCAGCAGCCGCGGUAAUUCCAGCUCUCAAAAUGCAUAGAAUUAUUGCUGCGGUUAAAAAGCUCGUAGUUGGAUCUGUGCCGGGGCGCCGGUCCACCCCACUGGGGUGCGCACUGGUCGCGCCGGCUUAGUGCCGGUUGUUCCCCGCCGUGGUCUUUACCGGCUGCGGUGGGCGGCUGGCGAGUUUACUUUGAACAAAUCAGAGUGCUUAACACAGGCGUCUCGCCUGAAUGUUCGUGCAUGGAAUAAUAGAAGAGGAUUUCGGUUCUAUUUUAUUGGUUUUAUAGACUGAAGUAAUGGUUAACAGAGACAAACGGGGGCAUUCGUACCGCUGCGUGAGAGGUGAAAUUCUUGGACCGCAGCGAGACGCACGACAGCGAAAGCAUUUGCCAAGCAUGUCUUCAUUAAUCAAGAACGAAAGYCAGAGGUUCGAAGGCGAUCAGAUACCGCCCUAGUUCUGACCGUAAACGAUGCCAACUAGCGAUCCGCCGGCGGAUUUUUCGCCCUGGUGGGGAGCUUCCCGGAAACGAAAGUCUUCCGGUUCCGGGGGAAGUAUGGUUGCAAAGCUGAAACUUAAAGGAAUUGACGGAAGGGCACCACCAGGAGUGGAGCUUGCGGCUUAAUUUGACUCAACACGGGAAAACUCACCCGGCCCGAACACCGCGAGGAUUGACAGAUUGACAGCUCUUUCAUGAUUCGGUGGAUGGUGGUGCAUGGCCGUUCUUAGUUCGUGGAGCGAUUUGUCUGGUUUAUUCCGAUAACGAGCGAGACUCUAGCCUGCUAAAUAGUCCACACAUUGCCUCUUGUGUGUGCUGACUUCUUAGAGGGAUUUUCGGCGCUCAGCCGCACGAGAUUGAGCAAUAACGGGUCUGUGAUGCCCUUAGAUGUCCGGGGCUGCACGCGUGCUACACUGGCAAAGGCAACGUGCCUGUCCUCUCCCAAAAGGGAGGGGUAAACCAUUGAAAAUUUGCCGUGAUUGGGAUCGGAAAUUGCAAUUAUUUUCCGUGAACGAGGAAUUCCAAGUAAGUGCGAGUCAUCAACUCGCGUUGAUUACGUCCCUGCCCUUUGUACACACCGCCCGUCGCUGCCCGGGACUGAGCCAUUUCGAGAAAUUUGGGGACCGGCGUUAGCUGCCCUCUCGGGGACACUUUCGCUGCGAACCAACUUAAUCGCAGUGGCUUGAACCGGGC